rnacentral:lncRNA from 1 species
GUUGUUUUAUACAUAUAUUAUAUUAUAUAUAUAUAUAUAUUAUUGCUGUUUUAAAGUGUUAUUUAGCAUUAUACAGAUGCAUUCCAUUAAAGCCUGAUUAAAGAGUUUAUUUCUGUAGGUUGUUCCUUAUAUAACAGGGUAAACCAAUGGUGCUAUUUUUAAACAUUACAACACGGAUGAAAAUCAAUGCCACCAAUCACGAACACAUUGUACAUUUUAUCCAAAAAAAACUUAAAAUUGUUAUACAUGAUUGGGUGGCUGUAGUAGACUUUUCAUACAGCCAUUAACAUUCUAUCAAAGAUUAUAUGAUUAGGUGGUAAUAAAAAGCCAGCAAUCAAUCAGAUGUUUGGAAAAAAUUACAAUUUUACGAAAUCUGUUUUUGUUUUGUAUACCAAACCCAUACUUGCCAAUACACCUAGUUCUUUGAGGGACUUUAAUAAACUCUUUUUCUUUUAAAAUCGGAUGUAUCCCUCUUUGAGUCUGUAACCCUGGAGGGAGGUCCAAAUAUCCAUUUUUGACAAAAAACUACUAUUAGAGUUGCCAUGGUAUGUGUUUGACAAUGUUUGGCAAAAACAUGGUUGUUAGCAUAGUAAAAGGACACCCAAGGUAAUUAAGAAUUGUGGUUUAACUAAUUGCUAGUAAUAUUUAUAUUCAUGUCUAGAUAGUUUGAUCUUAUCUAUUUGUGAUGAAAUAUUAAAAUACUAUAAAAAUUUUACCAACAAUUAUAUUAAUAAAGGUUAUCAGGCAUAAUCUCUGCAACUGGAAAGAAGGAAAUCUCCAUUUUUGUAACUUCAAAAGGAGUUUGGGGGGUAUGAAAUCAGGAAAUCUUUUUUUAAGAUUUUAAAGAAUUAAAAAAUGUUGAGGAAAAG